GACGAACGCUAGCGGCAUGCUUAAUACAUGCAAGUCGAGCGAACGGAUGAAGUGCUUGCACUUCUGACGUUAGCGGCGAACGGGUGAGUAACACGUAAGGAAUCUACCUAUAAGCGGGGGAUAACAUUCGGAAACGGGUGCUAAUACCGCAUAAUAUCUUCUUCCGCAUGGAAGAAGAUUGAAAGACGGCUCUGCUGUCACUUAUAGAUGACCUUGCGGUGCAUUAGUUAGUUGGUGGGGUAACGGCCUACCAAGACGAUGAUGCAUAGCCGACCUGUGAGGGUGAUCGGCCACAUUGGGACUGAGACACGGCCCAAACUCCUACGGGAGGCAGCAGUAGGGAAUCUUCCGCAAUGGGCGAAAGCCUGACGGAGCAAUGCCGCGUGAGUGAAGAAGGCCUUCGGGUCGUAAAACUCUGUUAUAAGAGAAGAACAAAUUGUAGAGUAACUGCUACAGUCUUGACGGUAUCUUAUCAGAAAGACACGGCUAACUACGUGCCAGCCGCCGCGGUAA
rnacentral:rRNA from 1 species